UUUAACUGAUAUAAACCACUGUGUCUGGCUAAAUUAUAUCUAUUGUAGUUUUUCUAAUGGUAUUUAUUGCAAUGUUUAUGUCAGACAAUUCAAAAUUGUAAUCAGCAUUCAUGUAUUACUCUGUCGGUUUCUGUUGACCGAUGUACUCAACUAUUUUUUAAAAUACUAAGGAUUUUUUACCCAAGGAAUGGAUUGUCUUGGGUAUAUUUGGCAAACAUUUUACGUCUUUUGGGUUCUUAAGCCUAUCCAACAUAAUAUAUUUUUUGGCCUUUUAACUCGUUUGAUUCGAGCGUCAUAAUUGAGACUUUGUAGAUGAAAGUCCCGCGACCGAUGUGUACAAUUUUUCUCCUGGUGUCUUUGAUGACAUUAUUUAAGUAUAAAUCCUGGUGUCUGUCUGAUUUACGCUUGUUUUACACCUGGUAGGUAACAACGAAGCCUGGUUUGGUUAUGACCCAGGGUUUCCGUGUGAUACAGGCGUCGCAUUUCGUACAGGAUAUAACAUUAUUCAAAAUAUGUUGGACCAUGGACGUAUUAUAUUAACGUUAAUACUUCAAUGGUUGGACAUAAUUAGAAGCAAAUAUCAUACAAAACAGUUUGUUAUUCUACAAAUCCAAAUGCAUUGAUAAGUUAAAUAUGUAUAGUUAUGAUAUGUGAGAUAUUUAUGAGCAUAGACAAAACAUUAUUAUUAUUAAACAUUGGUCGUUUACAAAUUUACAUUCAUUUUAUACAACAUUUUAUGCAGUAACCUAAAUGCAUGUGCCCAAUGAUUGUUUUGGAGUAAAGACAUAUACUGAACUUCUUCCAUCCAACAGCAAAACACAUGCUAAAAUAAUGGGUCAUUGCAGCUUAUGGUUAUGGUUCAUUCAUCCCUGUCCUCUCAUCUUUCAAAAAUUAUCUAACAGAUUAAUUUUUAAUUUGAUCUAGUCCUGAAUGUGCAUACAAUGUUUGCCUCCUGACAUGAAGCAAACAACUACAAAUAUUUUAUGGUAGAUAUUGGAUUGUUCCUGUUGAAUUUAUUCACAAUUUUCUUUGACAAUUUAGAGCCUGUCAUAUUGUAAAGGCAUCUGUCUAUCACUGAAGAAUUAUUUUUUGGUUAAUUUUAUAUGGCUGCUCCCGUACGAAAUUAUAAGGCGAAUUAGGCCUGGAAAUAAGGCGUAAACCAGGCGUAAGUGGUAGUUACGUGUCUAGAUCCAGGCGUAAGGGAGCAGCAAAUGUAAAUUUGUAGUCCUUACGGGCGUAGAAAAAAGCAGUAAACCUGGCGUAAAUUAAGAUAAGCAAGGCGUAAAUUUUCUUACGGGCGUAAAACUGUUGGUAUGGCGUAAAUAGAAAUACCCAUAAUGCUUUGUUUAAAGGAUCAUGGGAUUUUUUUUUCUUCAAAAUUUGGCUCUUUGGUUUUAGUUUGCAUUGCAAGAGUUGGACUUAUGGCAGCUUCAUAUAUUCAGGGAUGAUUAGAUUGUUUUGCGAUUUUGGGAAGAAUUUGAAAUUGGAAAUACUGAAUCAAAUAAAUAAUGAAAAUUGUGAAAUAAAAGGAAAGUAGUAAUACAUGGCAAAUAAUAAUAAUGUGAGUAUAACUAAGUUAUUAAGUACUAUGUUCUAUCAGAAAUUUUGAAAUCCCAAAACCUUUAUCCAUGGAUAAUACCAUUAAUAUCUUUUACUUUUAGUUCAAAAGACAAUAAUUUUCAAAAACAACUUAGUUAAAAUGCUACUUUUAUUUCAAAAAAUAUUUAAUUGUCAUAAUUCUUAUUUAAACUUAAAUUUAUUUGAGCCAGUGUCUGUCUAAAAUGUAUUCAUUUCUAUAUUAGCUUCUUCAAUGGUUAAUAUUUCAAGUUUUUUGUCCAACAAUAAGAAAUAAAAGCAACAGUACAGAAGUUUGUUUCAUAUACACAAAAGUACACAGCUAGGGUAUUUACACUGAUCUAGAAUAAGUGUAGUAUUAUGUAAGGAUAUUACGCCUGGUUUAUUUAUUGACCAGGCGUACUCAUUUGCAUAAUACGCCUAUUUUUUGGUGAACCAGGCGUACUCAUUUAAAUAUUACGCCUAACUUUACGCCUGGUUUACGCCUCAGUUAUGCCUGAUUUACGCUCAGUUUACGCCUGGUUGACGCCUGGACAUGCAUUUUGUAAACACAGCAAUGACGCCAGGAUAUAGUAUGAUUUUAACGUCUGGUUUCCGUGUCAUAUACGGGCGUCACAGUUCGUACAGGAUGUUUCAUUGACCUAAAACAUAUUCUUUUAUUCAUAAUAACCUAUUAAUCUAUCUACAACAUUAUACACCAUUUUCUACUAACUAAACUUUUUUUCAAUGUUGAUAAAAGUAAUUUAAAUCAUCUAAAUGAUCUUCCUUCUGAAAACGGUGCAGUGUUGGUCCUUUUGACACAAGGCUUUAAUCCGAUUCAUUGCUCCGUUUUUGUAGAUUAAUAGACCAUAUUUAAUAUUGCUACUCCGUUUUGUAGAAUUAUACAUCGUGUUUUAUUAUAAGUAUUCUAUAUUUGUAAGUCACAGUUAUAUAUAUGUCAAUCAUGUUAGUUUUUACAAAUUUUGCAAAGUUAUUGUGUUUGAGAUAUGAAAUUAAAUGUGCAUUUUAAAUUUCGUCAUUAAUAAAAUAAUUAAUGAAAAUGAAAUGUUAUCAGUAAACAAGAAUCCAUAAUAUCACAAGGUGUUGUCAUAGCUAUACCUUACACCAUAAUUUAUAUUUAUUGGGAGGAGGAUAUAAUUAGCACACAUCAUUUAAGACCAUUUAAUAUGUGGGGUCUUUUCAAUUUAAUCCUUUUCAUGUAUUUAUUUUAAUUUGUAAGCAUAGUGAAAAAUUAUGUUUCAAUAUAUUUUCCUACUUUAGAGUUAAUAGUAGAUAUUGCUCACAGACUUUGUCAAUACUGCCUAAUGUUAUUGUUGUUACCUUCACCAAUGCAAAUAAUUCCAAUGUAUGUAUGACAUUUGUAUGAUAAUAGAUCUGUUGGAAUCUGAGGAGGGAGGAAUGUUUACUUUAAUGUACAUAACACUUCUGUGUCCAACUAUAUUAACUCAUUGAUUGUAUUUUUUGUAAUAAUGUUUCAGAAAUUCAGACAUUUGGAUUAUUUGUAUAUGUUUGGUUUUGGAAAUAUUUAUUACUAUAUAGAAUUUUCUCUGAUUCUGAAAUAAAAAGUUAUAUAUGUUUAACUAUGAUACGUACUAUAAGUAUGUAAAACUGUUUAAGAAUGUUUAUUAUAGUAAGUAGACUGAGAUUACUAUUGCUUUUGGCUUCUGUUCUAACCAAUCAUGUAUUUGUAUAGCAAUAUAGUUUUGUAUGUUUUAGUACAAAUUUAAAUCAUCUCCUUUUAUUUCUAAGUAAAAAGUAAACGAUGAUUUGAACACACAAAGUAUUUUUAUUUCUUUCUUUUCUUUUCUAUUAAUAGUAGUUUUCCAAAUUUAGUAACUGUAUUUCAAUAUCCCCCAUCGUAGCGGAGGGGCAUUGUGUUUUAUCCUUGUCCUCUGUACAUACGUACGUCCCAAAGUUGGUUUCUGUUCUCUAACGUUAGUUUGCCUCACC
rnacentral:lncRNA from 1 species